rnacentral:rRNA from 1 species
GCUCAGAACGAACGCUGGCGGCAGGCUUAACACAUGCAAGUCGAGCGCCCCGCAAGGGGAGCGGCAGACGGGUGAGUAACGCGUGGGAAUCUACCCAUCCCUACGGAACAACUCCGGGAAACUGGAGCUAAUACCGUAUACGCCCUUCGGGGGAAAGAUUUAUCGGGGAUGGAUGAGCCCGCGUUGGAUUAGCUAGUUGGUGGGGUAAAGGCCUACCAAGGCGACGAUCCAUAGCUGGUCUGAGAGGAUGAUCAGCCACWUUGGGACUGAGACWCGGCCCAAACUCCUACGGGAGGCWGCWGUGGGGAAUAUUGGACWAUGGGCGCKAGCYUGAUCCKGCCKUGCCGCGUGAGUGAUGAAGGUCUUAGGAUUGUAAAGCUUCUUUCACCGGAGAAGAUAAU